UACGUAGGGUGCGAGCGUUGUCCGGAAUUAUUGGGCGUAAAGAGCUCGUAGGCGGUGUGUCACGUCGGCCGUGAAAACCUGCAGCUUAACUGUGGGCGUGCGGUCGAUACGGGCAUCACUGGAGUUCGGCAGGGGAGACUGGAAUUCCUGGUGUAGCGGUGAAAUGCGCAGAUAUCAGGAGGAACACCGGUGGCGAAGGCGGGUCUCUGGGCCGAUACUGACGCUGAGGCGCGAAAGCGUGGGGAGCAAACAGG
rnacentral:rRNA from 1 species